AAGAAAAGAGAAAAAACAAGAGAGAGAAAAAGUGAGAGGUGCAAAGAUAGGACCCCUAGACGACCAAAAUAGUGUAGCCAAAGAAUGGGUAAAAGAAAGAAAAGAAAAAAAAACGAA